rnacentral:piRNA from 1 species
UGGAACAUGUUCUUUGAAAUAUUUCUCAGAU